AACGAACGCUGGCGGCGGGCCUCAUACAUGCAAGUCGAGCGCGAAAGUCCGCAAGGAUGAGUAAAGCGGCGCACGGGUGAGUAACACGUGGAUAAUCUACCCUUUGGAUUGGAAUAACCUGUCGAAAGACGGGCUAAUGCCGAGUAAGCUCUCUAGAGCGCGAAGCUCUUGCGAGGAAAGAUGGCGCAAGCUAUCGCCGAUGGAUGAGUCUGCGUCCCAUUAGUUAGUUGGUGGGGUAAUAGCUUACCAAGACUAUGAUGGGUACCUGGUCUGAGAGGAUGACCAGGCACACUGGAACUGAAACACGGUCCAGACUCCUACGGGAGGCAGCAGUAGGGAAUAUUGCGCAAUGGAACGAAAGUCUGACGCAGCCACGCCGCGUGAGUGAGGAAGGCCUU
rnacentral:rRNA from 1 species